rnacentral:rRNA from 1 species
AUGUGCAUUCCCAAGAAGAAAGGGGUCUUGGGAUUUAGAGACUUUCACGGUUUUAACCUUGCUAUGUUAGCAAAAUAGUGUUGGCGACUAAUCCAGAACCCGAAUUCUUCAUGUGCACAUGUCCCGAGUGUUAAAUACUACCCGAUGGUAAUACCUUAG